ensembl:snoRNA
CUUUAAUGAUGAAACUAUCCCGAACCUGAUCAUUUGUGACUGAUAACCCUAACGGAUCUGACUUCUGAUGA